GCUGGUGGUGUAGAGAGUGAUACAGGCGUGAGAAAGUUAUAUUUCACAAAAAGAGCUUAUUUGGAAAGUGGAACGUCUUGACGGAGGAAUUAUAGCAUAUCUAUAAAAUACAAUAUUUAUCAAAAAUCUUAAAGUACAUUAAUUUUAUUCCAAAAGAAUGAUUGCGGAGAUCGUAGGAAAUGGUUAAAUUGCCAUGGAAAUU
rnacentral:lncRNA from 1 species